rnacentral:tRNA from 1 species
GGUUCCAUAGUGUAGCAGUUAGCACAUCUACUUUCCACUCAGAAGGUUCUGGGUUCAUGACCCAGUGGAGCCA